rnacentral:rRNA from 1 species
UUAGUUGGUAGGGUAACGGCUGACCAAGGCUAUGAUCGGUAGCCGGCCUGAGAGGGCACACGGCCACACUGGCACUGAAACACGGGCCAGACUCCUACGGGAGGCAGCAGUGGGGAAUCUUGCACAAUGGGGGCAACCCUGAUGCAGCGACGCCGCGUGAGCGAUGAAGCCCUUCGGGGUGUAAAGCUCUUUCGGCAGGGAAGAUUAUGACGGUACCUGCAGAAGCAGCUGCGGCUAACUACGUGCCAGCAGCCGCGGUAAUACGUAGGCAGCAAGCGUUGUUCGGAGUUACUGGGCGUAAAGGGUGUGUAGGCGGCCUUCUAAGUUUGGUGUGAAAUCUCCCGGCUCAACCGGGAGGGUGCGCCGAAGACUGGGGGGCUAGAGUGCGGGAUGGGAGAGUAGAAUUCCUGGUGUAGCGGUGAAAUGCGUAGAUAUCAGGAGGAAUACCUGUGGUGUAGACGGCUCUCUGGACCGCAACUGACGCUGAGACACGAAAGCGUGGGUAGCAAACAGGAUUAGAUACCCUGGUAGUCCACGCCCUAAACGAUGCAUAUUUGGUGUAGGUCAUUCAGUUGAUCUGUGCCGGAGCUAACGCGUUAAAUAUGCCGCCUGGGGAGUACAGUCGCAAGGCUGAAACUCAAAGGAAUUGACG